AUUGAACGCUGGCGGCAGGCCUAACACAUGCAAGUCGAGCGAGUGGCGGACGGGUGAGUAAUGUCUGGGAAACUGCCCGAGGGAGGGGGGUAACUACUGGAAACGGUGGCUCAUACCGCGUACCAUCUGAUGUGCCCCGAUGGAUUAGCUGGUAGGUGGGGUAACGGCUCACCUCGGCGACGAUCCCUAGCUGGUCUGAGAGGAUGACCAGCCACACUGGAACUGAGACACGGUCCAGACUCCUACGGGAGGCAGCAGUGGGGAAUAUUGCACAAUGGGCGCAAGCCUGAUGCAGCCAUGCCGCGUGUAUGAAGAAGGCCUUCGGGUUGUAAAGUACUUUCAGCGAGGAGGCGUUACUCGCAGAAGAAGCACCGGCUAACUCCGUGCCAGCAGCCGCGGUAAUUC
rnacentral:rRNA from 1 species